AGCCGGGCGGCUGCGGGUUUGGAGUCGUCGGCGGGUUGGGUUCCUGCGGUGCUGCUGGUAUUUCGGCCGUUGGCGGCGGACCGGACGCAUACGUGCCGGGGCGCCGAGGGCUGCGGCGUGACGGGCGCCCGGUUCUGCCUGCAGGUGCGCGCAGGUGCCGGCAGGUGCGCGGGGCGCGACCCCCAGAGCGGUCGGCCGCGGAGCCUCGGGAGGAGGUGCUGUUGAUGUCAUGGUGCUGCCAGCUUGGGGAGUGAAGACCGGAAACAGGCGAUCCAGGGACCCCGGCACAGGUCCCCACAGGUGCUGAAAGAAGUGGCGAUUAGCACAUCUGAGCCUCCUUGUUGGGCUGGUACAACUAAGCCACGUGGGGUUUCCCAAGGACCAAGGCCGCAAAAUCCACUUCUGUCUGGAGACAUCAUCAUGAGGAAUGUACGGCUGAGCCGCUAGCAUGUCUGAGGUUCACAUUGGUCUUGCCUGCAGCACCUGUGCGUGUAGGUGAGUUUCUCUUUUCACAAGGACCUAGGUGUCUGCCACAGUUCCUGUCUGCCUGACUACUUGUGAAGCUGAGACCUGAUACAACGUCGUUCGGGCACUGGUGUGGGUCUGUGGGCACUGGGUCAACGCAGAGGUUACGAUCCUUGUUCCGAAGGUGGGUGUGUCACCCUGAAUCACAGGAGACGUGCUCUCAAAUACGACACCCGCUUAAGGCCGCAGCGGCACAAUCAUUUUGUCUAAUUAUAUACUGGUAAAAAAGAGGACUGAUUUCUAUUGAACCUAUGCAAAUAACUAGAUUUCUAUUAAAAUUGAAUAGUCAGUAAAAACGAUUUUUCCUGAAUUCCGACGUAGGAAAAUACCAUUUAAAAAAUGUUUCAUUUGGGCUUCCCUGGUGGCGCAGUGGUUGAGAAUCUGCCUGCCAAUGCGGGGGACACGGGUUUGAG